CACGUAGGGGGCGAGCGUUGUCCGGAUUUAUUGGGCGUAAAGAGCUCGUAGGCGGCUCGGUAAGUCAGGUGUGAAAACUCUAGGCUCAACCUAGAGACGCCACCUGAUACUGCUGUGGCUAGAGUCCGGUAGGGGAGCAUGGAAUUCCCGGUGUAGCGGUGAAAUGCGCAGAUAUCGGGAGGAACACCAAUGGCGAAGGCAGCUCGCUGGGACGGUACUGACGCUGAGACGCGAAAGCGUGGGGAGCAAACAGG
rnacentral:rRNA from 1 species